rnacentral:rRNA from 1 species
GAGUUUGAUCGUGGCUCAGAUUGAACGCUGGCGGCAUGCCUUACACAUGCAAGUCGAACGGCAGCACGGGAGCUUGCUCCUGGUGGGCGAGUGGGCGAACGGGUGAGUAAUGCAUCGGAACGUAUCCUGGAGUGGGGGAUAACGUAGCGAAAGUUACGCUAAUACCGCAUAUUCUGUGAGCAGGAAAGCGGGGGACCUUCGGGCCUCGCGCUCUUGGAGCGGCCGAUGUCGGAUUAGCUAGUUGGUGAGGUAAAGGCUCACCAAGGCGACGAUCCGUAGCAGGUCUGAGAGGAUGAUCUGCCACACUGGAACUGAGACACGGUCCAGACUCCUACGGGAGGCAGCAGUGGGGAAUUUUGGACAAUGGGGGCAACCCUGAUCCAGCCCAUGCCGCGUGAGUGAGAAGGCC